rnacentral:rRNA from 1 species
AUUGAACGCUGGCGGCAGGCCUAACACAUGCAAGUCGAACGAGUGGCGGACGGGUGAGUAAUGUCUGGGAAACUGCCCGAUGGAGGGGGAUAACUACUGGAACCGGUAGCUAAUACCGCAUACCAUCGGAUGUGCCCAGAUGGGAUUAGCUAGUAGGUGGGGUAACGGCUCACCUAGGCGCCGAUCCCUAGCUGGUCUGAGAGGAUGACCACCAACACGGGAACUGAGACACGGCCCAGACUCCGAGGGGAGGCAGCAGUGGGGAUUAUUGCACAAUGGGCGAAAGCCGAAUGCAGCCAGGCCGGGUGUAGGAAGAGGGCCUUCGGGUUGUAAAGUACUUUAAGCGAGGAGGCGUUACUCGCAGAAGAAGCACCGGCUAACUCCGUGCCAGCCGCCGCGGUAAUA